GGUUAAGCGACUAAGCGUACACGGUGGAUGCCCUGGCAGUCAGAGGCGAUGAAGGACGUGCUAAUCUGCGAUAAGCGUCGGUAAGGUGAUAUGAACCGUUAUAACCGGCGAUUUCCGAAUGGGGAAACCCAGUGUGAUUCGUCACACUAUCAUUAACUGAAUCCAUAGGUUAAUGAGGCGAACCGGGGGAACUGAAACAUCUAAGUACCCCGAGGAA
rnacentral:rRNA from 1 species